rnacentral:rRNA from 1 species
ACGGGAGGCAGCAGUGGGGAAUAUUGGACAAUGGGGGAAACCCUGAUCCAGCGACGCCGCGUGAGUGAAGAAGUAUUUCGGUAUGUAAAGCUCUAUCAGCAGGGAAGAUAAUGACGGUACCUGACUAAGAAGCCCCGGCUAACUACGUGCCAGCAGCCGCGGUAAUACGUAGGGGGCAAGCGUUAUCCGGAUUUACUGGGUGUAAAGGGAGCGUAGACGGAAGGCCAAGUCUGAUGUGAAAACCCAGGGCUCAACCCUGGGACUGCAUUGGAAACUGGUCAUCUAGAGUGCAGGAGGGGUAAGCGGAAUUCCUAGUGUAGCGGUGAAAUGCGUAGAUAUUAGGAGGAACACCGGUGGCGAAGGCGGCUUGCUGGACUGAUACUGACACUGAGGCACGAAAGCGUGGGGAGCAAACAGGAUUAGAUACCCUGGUA